AUCCUUUUGGAGUUCCUAAGCGUGAUGGUUAAGUCUUCACAUGCAUGUGUGAGAUGUGACUCCCUCAGGCCUUGUUAUGACAUCAGCAGAUUAUUGGUCUGACA
ensembl:snoRNA